GGGGAAACGAGAACAUCCCUACCCUUCUGUGACCUACCUAUCGUUGCUUCGGCGGACUCGCCCCAGCCCGGACGCGGACUGGACCAGCGGCCCGCCGGGGACCUCAAACUCUUGUAUUCCAGCAUCUUCUGAAUACGCCGCAAGGCAAAACAAAUGAAUCAAAACUUUCAACAACGGAUCUCUUGGCUCUGGCAUCGAUGAAGAACGCAGCGAAACGCGAUAAGUAAUGUGAAUUGCAGAAUCCAGUGAAUCAUCGAAUCUUUGAACGCACAUUGCGCCCGCCAGCAUUCUGGCGGGCAUGCCUGUUCGAGCGUCAUUUCAACCCUCGACCUCCCCUUGGGGGGGUCGGCGUUGGGGACCGGCAGCACACCGCCGGCCCUGAAAUGGAGUGGCGGCCCGUCCGCGGCGACCUCUGCGCAGUAAUACAGCUCGCACCGGAACCCCGACGCGGCCACGCCGUAAAACACCCAACUUCUGAACGUUGACCUCGAAUCAGGUAGGACUACCCGCUGAACUUAAGCAUAUCAAUAAGCGGAGGA
rnacentral:rRNA from 1 species